rnacentral:tRNA from 1 species
GCGCCGAUAGCUCAACUGGCAGAGCGGCGGUCUCCAAAACCGCAGGUUGGGGGUUCGAAACCCUCUCGGCGUGCCA